CAACCAACAAACAGGUUUUUUCCCCCCCAUUAAUUAAAAGGAAAACAAACCUCUUUUAUGAAUUCCUUACUGACCGAUGAGCCAUCAACACAGUCUGAUACUAUGUAAUAUCUCAUUUACCGUCAAGCCCUAUAGAGUUUCAACACGAUUGGGACAUUUUUUUGUCAAAAUAAUAUUGCCAAAGAUGAUGCUGGUCAUUAGUAGUUGGCAUGGACUGGGGGAUUUUUGUGGAGCCCUGGCAAAUACAGACUAUCCAGAGUAAUAAUAGUUUUAGAGUGUAGAGACGUAUUGUGAAUUACAUUUCCCAGGGGCUGACUGAGUAUCAUGGUAAUUGUAAUUCCCAUAUAUCGGUUGGGACAAAGCUAGCCAUCGAUGGUAUUGGGAGUUG